rnacentral:rRNA from 1 species
UACAGAGGGGGCAAGCGUUGUCCGGAAUCAUUGGGCGUAAAGAGCGUGUAGGCGGUCCGGUAAGUCGGCUGUGAAAGUCCAGGGCUCAACCCUGGGAUGCCGGUCGAUACUGCCGGACUAGAGUUCGGAAGAGGCGAGUGGAAUUCCCGGUGUAGCGGUGAAAUGCGCAGAUAUCGGGAGGAACACCUAUGGCGAAGGCAGCUCGCUGGGACGUUACUGACGCUGAGACGCGAAAGCGUGGGGAGCAAACAGG